rnacentral:rRNA from 1 species
AUGAGCUCCUCAUAUGCUAAAAAUUUUCUCAGUCAAGUUAUGAAAGACUGGAUUAUAAACAUAUACCUGACUAGUGACUCCAUACGGUGGACGUUGCUUUUAUCGAAAAAAUUAUUCUUGCACUCUGACAGAAAUCAUCAGUCUUCGUUAGUGUUGGUACUUCGAUGCCAAUCUUCUUACUUAUCCAAGCCAAAUUCUCUCUGCCAAUUGUCCCAAACCAUCCAUGCAACAUCAGAGCUCCUCAUAUACUGUUUUGAGCUUUCUCAGUCAAUAAUCAAAGACUGGAUUGUAAAUAAAUAA